UGCCACAAUGCCACCAAGAACAUUCCCCUAUUCAAACAGAGCAGGUGGGGGAAGUUCCAGAGAGUCUGAGUCUUUCUCUCCUCCCAGAGAACAGGUAGGAGCCCCUCCCAUCUCCCCAUCUCCAGGUCAUGGGCCCAGGGGCUCCUCCUGCAGAGAAUCCAGCACACUCUGCCUCACAGAGCAAGUGGGCAGGGCUUCACAGAGUGGGUGCAACCACACCCCCAGAACAGUGGGUCCCUCCCUCCAUCCCAAGGGGGACACCCUUGCAGAACAGAUGGGGACAGCUCCAUCCGCUCCUAGAAAUGCCCCCCACAGGGAAGGAAGUGCUCCCACAGAGCAAAUCAGAGAACCUUUGCAGAUGGGGGAAUCACACGCAGGGCGGGCACGGGUUGAAAGUCUCCAGAAGCUGAAAAUGCCCCGGCAGAGAAAGCGAAAGGAGAUCCAGUGAGCAGCGGGAUGCCCCCGAAGGCCGACAUCCCACAGCAGAUCCAACACCCCAUGGAGCUGGCCAUGAUUCCCAGGGGCCAGGCACUUCCCCAGAACUUCUAGAAUGUGGUGACAGAACAGCUGUCCAGAGACUACGUGAUGUGUGACGUCGGGACUGAUUAAACUUGGAGGGAGACGGGAAGGUCCAGCAUGUGGUCUGUGAAGCCGGUUGUUAAAGGAACAGAAAUGUAACACGACAGUACUCUUGUCACUAAAUGUUUUUAGUGCUGGAGGAUGUAACCAGUUUUCAUAGAAUGAUAUUUAUAUUCAAAUGUGUCACUGGCUUCUAAUUACAUUAAAGGAAUAAACAUUUUAAAAUUCUGUUUAA